UGCUAGCUGGUCCGGUACAAUAUCGAUGGAUGUAUCCAUUUGAGAGAAACCUUCAAAAAUAUAAAUAUAAUGUUCGAAAUAAGGCACAUGUUGAAGGAUGCAUAUGCAAUCCUUAUAUAGUUGAUGAAGGUUCAUCCUUCUGUUCACACUACUUCGAGCCUCAUGUUUACACAAGGCAUAGAAAAGUACCAUGAAAUGACGAUGGUGGUAUAGGAGAACAAGAUAGAUACGAUGGAAAUUUAUUGACUCCCUUCAUCAAAAUUUUCCACGAAUUACGGAGCAGGAAGUGGAUAAGAAACUUGAUGAAGAUUUUGCAUCAUGGUUCACAAGAUAUG